GGGCGGCUGGCCUAAUGGUAAGGCGUUUGAUUUCGGCUGAACUUGAUUCAAAAGGUUCGACAUCUCAAAAAAUUGCAGGUUCGAUCCCUGCGUCGCUCA
rnacentral:tRNA from 1 species